rnacentral:rRNA from 1 species
AUUGAACGCUGGCGGAAUGCUUUACACAUGCAAGUCGAACGGUAGAGGGGGCAACCCCUCGAGAGUGGCGAACGGGUGAGUAAUAUAUCGGAACGUGCCCAGUCGUGGGGGAUAACGUAGCGAAAGUUACGCUAAUACCGCAUACGAUCUAAGGAUGAAAGCGGGGGAUCGCAAGACCUCGCGCGAUUGGAGCGGCCGAUAUCAGAUUAGGUAGUUGGUGGGGUAAAGGCCCACCAAGCCAACGAUCUGUAGCUGGUCUGAGAGGACGACCAGCCACACUGGAACUGAGACACGGUCCAGACUCCUACGGGAGGCAGCAGUGGGGAAUUUUGGACAAUGGGCGAAAGCCUGAUUCAGCCAUUCCGCGUGCAGGAUGAAGGCCCUCGGGUUGUAAACUGCUUUUGUACAGAACGAAAAGGUUUCUACUAAUACAAGGAGCUCAUGACGGUACUGAAAGAAUAAGCACCGGCUAACUACGUGCCAGCCGCCGCGGUAA